UUGACACUCCACCAAACCCAAAUCAGCUUUUGUUUCUUUUUUAUUAUCAAGCCCUUUCACAAAACCUCCAUGUCGAUCUAAUAACAAAUUUGCAGACUACAAAAUUAUAAGUAUAGCUUAUCAUCUAAAUAAAAUGGAACCAUAUUUAGCCCAGAUAACAAAACUAUUGUUAAUCACUAACAAAAAAGCACCUCCAAACUCAAAUCUUAUCACAAAAGGCAAAAUGAGAACAAAAUCUA
rnacentral:lncRNA from 1 species